UCUUCUGGGUGUCCCACUUUCUAGUUUUCCCUUUCUUUUGUAACAUUCACUUUUCAAAUCCUUUCAGAAGGAAGGCGACCUCCCCAACUUGGCAUCCGCUCAGCCAGAGCUCUCCAGAGCCAGCGGAUCCACAGCAGACAGAGAUCUCCGUCAUGAGUUUGCACAAAACCCAGGCUACCAGCACAACCUAGAGUUCCAGCAGUAUAACUCCCCUGCUCCUGAGAGGACAGGCCAGUACCAGCCAGGUCUACAGGAGAACGUGUCCUUCCCGCCUGGUGCAUAUUCCAGGGUGGAGGGGUCAGAGCAGGCCAUAGCUUCUGUGCCACCUGAUGCCAUGCAAGAGAAUCGUCCCACAGAGGUCAGCUUUGGGGCAAACCUCUCUCUAGAGGGAAUUUCAAAUGACCAUUCCCCACAGGUCUACCAGCCACCAGGGAGCGCUGUGAGGUUUCAAGGACGCUCCCGGCCCUUUGGGGUUCAGAAGAACAUUCUGGAACAGCAGAGCGUGUUGAAUGCCAGGACCCGAACCGUCUCAGAGAGCUCCACCAUCUCCAUGGAGGAGGACGCCUUGCGACCCCCAGAAGGCACAGGCGAGGGAGUUGCUGUAGAGCGGCCGUCAACGGAGGGGGCAGAGCGAGAAGAGGCAAAGGUGAGGGGGGAACUGUGCUGCUUUCAAAGCCAUGCCCCCAGCCUGAUUCC
rnacentral:lncRNA from 1 species